AACGAACGCUGGCGGCAGGCUUAACACAUGCAAGUCGAGCGCCCCGCAAGGGGAGCGGCAGACGGGUGAGUAACGCGUGGGAAUCUACCCAGUUCUACGGAAUAACCCAGGGAAACUUGGGCUAAUACCGUAUACGCCCUACGGGGGAAAGAUUUAUCGGAAUUGGAUGAGCCCGCGUUGGAUUAGCUAGUUGGUGGGGUAAUGGCCUACCAAGGCGACGAUCCAUAGCUGGUCUGAGAGGAUGAUCAGCCACACUGGGACUGAGACACGGCCCAGACUCCUACGGGAGGCAGCAGUGGGGAAUAUUGGACAAUGGGCGCAAGCCUGAUCCAGCCAUGCCGCGUGAGUGAUGAAGGCCUUAGGGUUGUAAAGCUCUUUCAGUGGGGACGAUAAUGACGGUACCCACAGAAGAAGCCCCGGCUAACUUCGUGCCAGCCGCCGCAGUAACAC
rnacentral:rRNA from 1 species